rnacentral:lncRNA from 1 species
AUACUCUCCCAGCUACCUGUCACCCAUCUCCCUCCUGAAAAAGCUGAGCUCCACCGAAUGUCUCCUUCUAAUGAAACGCAACUCUGGCUGCAUCUCAGUUUUUGCAGGCGAGAAAAGAGCAACUCUGAAUUCCCUGGCUGUCUGUUCCUGCUUCUUAUUGUGGCUGGGGAUACUGAAAUCUGCCUGAUAGGAGGAGGAAGCACCACUUCUCCCACGUGGAUGCCAUGUUCCAGUGAUUCAGCAAGAGAUCUACUGGGACAGUGAGAAAUAGCUGGAUUGCUUAACCCCAAAUCUAUGAGGAAGACCCACACAUAUCAUUCAAGCCCUGGAACUCAAGAGGCACUCUUAGAAAUGCCAUUAUAUUCAUAAACAUAUGGUGCUCUGGCUCUCCUUGGCUUUAUACUAAGCUACUUGAGCUUUUUGUUUAUCAGAUUUGUGUAUUCUUCAGUGUCUACCCCCUCCCCCUGUGUUUCACACAUAAUAGCUGCCCAAUAACAUCGUGGAAACGAACUUUAAAUAUCAGUGUGGAAUCUUCCACUGAAUAUAUAUAAUUUAUGCUAUUGAAUUUAAGACUUAGACCUUGACCCUUUAUUGGGAAAACUGGUAAAAAUGAUGCAGUAACAACAGCAUCACAAUAAGAUCACAGGUCCUUCUUCCCCAUAUUUCCCUGUCUCUGCGUGCCCUUAACCUUUGAGCAGAAGACAAGUUUCUCAUCUCCUCUGCAUGCCAGAUGGGCCACUAAACUAGGACCAGUGGGGGGGUGUAGCAAAUCACAACUAUAUAAGAUAUCACUGAAGUCAUCAAAAAGCAGUGAUGGAGAUCGAGGGCAGUUGAGGGGAACGAAUUGCAACUAUGUAAUGUUUUUCAUGCGAAUCAUCAAAAAUCAGUGAUGGUCUUUGAGCUGCUAGGCGGAAAGUCUGAGAAUUUCUAUACAGGAGAUAAGACCCAGAUACUGCAAGAUGGAGAAAGAGGAACAGGUAAGCAAUUGCAUGAAGAGUCAAGCUCUAUUUAUAUUUCAGUGAACAUUUAUCAAUGGCCUUUGCUAGAAUAAAUUAUAAGGCUGAAGAAGAUACACCCUUAGAAUGUUUCUAGUCUCCACUACCAAAAGUUAGAAAACUGGCUCAGGCAAAGGAUGAAAAAAUGGAAAUAAAAUCAGGUUGUGUGCAUGUAACACUGGCUCCAAAUUGACUGUUUAUUUGGGACAUAGAUGAACAUCAUAAUCCUUUGGCUUGACUCCCCUGCAGCCCUGAUGGAACACAUCCAGUUGGGCCUCCUGUCACCCAUCAGAGUGCUAAUUAAGGAGCCAGAGAAAUACCACAGUUCACCUCAUCUGUUUGUGUUCUUCUGCUGAAAGGACACCAUGCAUCUCCCUGACAGCUAGUCAUUACAGGAGCAUAUGGGCAUAUCAGGCUUCUGCCAGGGACAGCUAAGCCCCUAAGAACCCAAGCAGAGCUCUGAGUUACGCUGGCCUGUACAUGUCCAUUACCACUCCAGUGAUACAAAGGGAUGUACACCCCCAUCAACUAAGAUGGCUAGUGCAAAUUUUGACCUCCCAAAGGAGUGUAAGUGAGACACCGUGAAUGGGAUGACAGAGUUGGUAGAGAGGGAAAAUGCAGAGGAGGGAGAAACAGCUAGAUUUGUGUUAUUGCAACUCUCUCAGUGCCAUUUCAGACCCAAGGUACUUGGAAGGUGCAAAAUGACUUUCUGCAUAUUUAAAAAAAAAUUGCUGUCCUUUCCACUUUUACGGCUCUUGGGUAUCGAGCAUUUCCCUAUGCAAUAUUUUCUUUGACCUUUAUCAUCUGGCAGAAAUUAUUAUCUCUAAGUGACUAAUUAAAAAAACACGGAGACCCAGUAAGGUUAAGGAAUUCUUCAAGGUCAUAGUACUGUGUAAAUGACAGGGUUGGGAGUAAAACCCAGGUUUUCAGACUUUUAGUCCGAUGUUCUUUAAAAGCCAGUCAAAUGGGCACAAGCGAUCUUUUGAGAGUGACAAAUGUUUUAAAACUAGAUGUAGCGAUGGCUGCACAAGUCGGUAAAUUUUUUAGAAAUCAUUACAUGCUUUAAAAAGUUGAGUGUUACGGUAUGUAAAUUGUAUUUCAAUACAGCUCUGAAAAAUAAAGGCAGCCAAGUGUAGUAAGUAGAGCCCGGGCUUUGGUGUCAUUAUUCUGUAGUGCAGAUCCUGAUUCCAGCUCUUCUGCCCUGGGCAACAUUGG